rnacentral:rRNA from 1 species
UGCGUAGGCGGUUUGGUAAGUCUUGUGUGAAAUCUACAGGCUCAACUUGUAGUCUGCACGAGAAACUGCCGGGCUUGAGUAUGGGAGAGGUGAGUGGAAUUCCUGGUGUAGCGGUGAAAUGCGUAGAUAUCAGGAGGAACACCUGUGGCGAAAGCGGCUCACUGGACCAUAACUGACGCUGAUGCACGAAAGCUAGGGGAGCAAACA